GCUAAUGGAUCAAAAGCUAGGAACGCGGCGUCCUGCCGCAACGCUUUCGUGACCCACAUCGUGUGGG
rnacentral:sRNA from 1 species